rnacentral:piRNA from 1 species
UAAAUAUAUGAAGAAAGAGGGGACC